GCCAGACUCCUACGGAGGCAGCAGUGGGGAAUAUUGGGCAAUGGGCGAAAGCCUGACCCAGCAACGCCGCGUGGGUGAAGGAGCGUUUCGGCGCGUAAAGCCCUAUCGGCAGGGAAGAAGGAGGACGGUACCUGACUAAGAAGCCCCGGCUAACUACGUGCCAGCAGCCGCGGUAAUACGUAGGGGGCAAGCGUUAUCCGGAUUCACUGGGUGUAAAGGGAGCGUAGACGGCGACGCAAGUCUGGAGUGAAAGCCCGGGGCCCAACCCCGGGACUGCUCUGGAAACUGCGUCGCUGGAGUACGGGAGGGGCAGGCGGAAUUCCUGGUGUAGCGGUGAAAUGCGUAGAUAUCAGGAGGAACACCGGCGGCGAAGGCGGCCUGCUGGACCGUGACUGACGUUGAGGCUCGAGAGCGUGGGGAGCAAACAGGAUUAGAUACCCCGGUACG
rnacentral:rRNA from 1 species